UACGAAGGGUGCUAGCGUUGUUCGGAUUUACUGGGCGUAAAGCGCACGUAGGCGGACCUGCAAGUCGGGGGUGAAAGCCCGAGGCUCAACCUCGGAACUGCCUUCGAUACUGCGGGUCUCGAGUCCGGGAGAGGUGAGUGGAAUUCCUAGUGUAGAGGUGAAAUUCGUAGAUAUUAGGAAGAACACCAGUGGCGAAGGCGGCUCACUGGCCCGGUACUGACGCUGAGGCGCGAAAGCGUGGGGAGCAAACAGG
rnacentral:rRNA from 1 species